UACGGAGGGUGCAAGCGUUAUCCGGAAUCACUGGGUUUAAAGGGUGCGUAGGCGGCUUGAUAAGUCAGGGGUGAAAGCUUCCCGCUCAACGGGAGAACUGCCUUUGAUACUGUCAGGCUCGAAUUGGGUUGAGGCAGGCGGAAUGUGGCAUGUAGCGGUGAAAUGCUUAGAUAUGCCAUAGAACACCGAUUGCGAAGGCAGCCUGCCAAGCCUUGAUUGACGCUGAGGCACGAAAGCGUGGGGAGCGAACAGG
rnacentral:rRNA from 1 species